UCGGAGGAGAUGGACCGGAUUGCGGAACAAUUGUUCCGGCGGUAUUCGUCUCCUUCGUCUUCGGGUGUUAAAAGAGGAAAAGGAGUCGCCCUUGUUUGUUCAGAAAUGACCUCCGUGUGCUGGACAAUGAGGCUCUGUAUAAGGCCUGGGUUUCGCCCGAGGCUGUGUUGCCGGUGUAUUCCGCUGAUCCAAGAUCUUCUGGUUCUACCUGCUACUUCGGAUUUCCUAGAACUGGAGCAAUGAGAGCACAAUUUAUUGUUGAAUGCUUGGCCUUAACUUGCUUAUUCAAUAAUGGGAAGCCUGAAGAAAUUCUCCCUUCUCUUGCAAAAGCUCUCGGUGCCCACACAGUUGAGAAGAUUUAAUAGCCAUCCUUGUUGUUAAGGGCAUGAGGUUCAUUGGGGGCGAGAAAGCAGGUCUCUCCAGAAUUUAUGAGUACACUUCUGGAAGAAGGAUUUACUACGGAUGAGGAAACAAGCAAUCAAUGGGAUGUUAGAACCUGGCUACGCUACAAAAUGUUGAGGAUUAUCGAAAGGAGUAGUCCCACGUUGGCCAGUCCGAAG